GAGCAGGCAGAGCAGCAGGGAAAUGUGGGCUGCGAGGAGGCAGAAGAGGAGCGGGAGAGAGGAGAGGCAGCCUCCAGGCUGGGUGAGACACCCAACAAGCACCGGCAGGAACCGAGAAUGUGUCUCUGGCUACCCCUCACACUGGACACUCACCUUGCCGUCCACGAGGAUGUCAAAGCGAAUCCCAAACACCUUGAAGAGCCCGUGGAACUCAUAGACGGGUUUGCAGUGUCGCACAUGCCAGUCCAGGUCACAGUGCCAGUCGAUGGUGAUGCCUACCACCCCG